AUGCGCGAGGACAGUGGGCGGGAGGAAACCCGACUUGGCCUAGGUGCCAUGUGCAGCAUCCUCUCUGAAGCAGAACUUUGGGCUCGCAGCAUUUGUUUCACGGUAAGCAGUUCGAUGAUUUUAAACUUCCAUCUUCCCCCAAGAACACUCGACAAAGUUGGCAGUCUGAAAUAUGCAAAAAUGCACCCAGAAAUGGAAGAGAGGGACAUUUGCACAAGCUGGGUUGUGUCUACAGAAUUAGAAGGCACAGUUGGACUAAUUUUAGUGCCUAAAAAUUGGAAACAUUGGAAUAAUGCUCCACGGGAAACGCAAGCUCUUGAAAGGGGUGGAAGGAACCACGAGGAAUGGGCGGGAGGGAGCUUCACCCUAGGCUGUGGGUGCGCCCCAGUCCUGCUGGGGGAAAGGGUUACCGGCCUUUCGUGUUGUCAGAUCGGGAAUGACUGGCGGUUUCCUUCACUUGCCUCUUCAUUGUGUUGGUUUCCCAGCUAUCUGCUUCCCUUUGUCUUGCAGUAGAUAAUUUUGAUCCUGUGACCAGCUCGUUGGCAUUUUGUCCUGUGGGAUUUCUGAGAGGCUCGGUCCCCUGUGAGUGACCUCACGUGGGCAGACAGCACACAACUCACUUUGUAUGUGGGGAGCGGAGUAGGGGCCCGGCUCACUUUCCGCGCAGCCAGUCAAGCCGGGCCGGAGGAUUUAUGAGAUGAAGGCGAGCCACUUUGAAGAAAGACGGCCUUGUCUGUAGCUGGGCCAUUGCUCCGAGCAGUGCAUGGGGAGGUGGGGAGGGCCGGGCAUACGAGAGGGCCCGGCGCCCUGGGGAUGGAGGGGAAAGAAAGGAAUCCCAGGAACCAGGGUCACAAGUCUUUCUGAGAACAGGAAAGGAAGCCGAGGAGGCCCUUUCCAGUCGCAGGUGUGCACACAGCCCUUCCCCAGGUCACGCAGAGGCUGGGCGUCACCACCCCUGUCUGUGUUUGUCCCAAGCCUCCUCCCCUCCCCGAGAGAAGAACCACAGAGAGCUGGGAACGGGAGGUCCCUUCUAGACACCAGCAUGGCCACCAGCGGUGGAGAAGCAGGAACACCUUCCACCCAGGCUGAGAAGCACAGUUCAGACUCUGGCUCUCGGGGGAGCGACUUCUUCACUUCUCAGCCUCAGUGUCUGCUUUGUGAAAAAGGUGUGCUUAACAGGGGCGCCUGGCCCAGCACCCACUGGGACACCAAGCCAUGCCAGGCAGCUCAUAAGAUCGGGAGCCGGGAUUUGAACUGAGAUCUCUCUGCUUCUCAGUCUACCUCUCAAGCACCCUGCUCACGCAGAACUAAGGGGACAGUGUGGCUCCCGGCCCCGCCCCCGCAGCACUGUGUGGUAGAACAUUCUGGAACAUUCUGCAACGAUCACCAUAGUCCAUAUCCGGUGCCCACACUGAUGGCCACUGCAGACUUGAAAUGUGGCUAGUGUGGCAGAGGAACUGAAUUUUAGAUUGUAUUUCAUUUGCAUUCAUUUCAGUAUAGAUUUAAAUAGCUGCACGAGGCUAGUGCCACUGCUUUACCCGGCAAAACCCUAAGGAACUCAAUUCACAUUAAUCACAGUGGUUAAGUGUCACGCUGUGGCUCUGGCCCAGACCCAGGGGUGCAGAGAGGAGGACACAGCCUUGAUGCAGGGUGUGGCCUUGGAAGGGGGCCUCAGAGGCUUCCCAGAGAAAGUCCUCCUGGAGGAAGGAGUUGGGGAAGGGGGGGAUUUUUAAAUAUGUCCAAAUAAGUUGGAUUUCACAACAGGGCUUGUGCUGAGCCAGUACUUUGGUGGAGACUGAAACCUUUAAUCAACACCCAGGGUCUUCUUUGAGCACGUGAUAACCCACGCUCGCCCCAAGGAUGAAAUAGUUCUGGCUUCUGGAAGGUGCCCGCUGUUCCCUUUGGCUGAAAGUAUCAGUUCGUGUUUGGUUUCUCCCGUCUCCUCCCUGAGGACAUGAAAAUACCUGGACAACGAAUCUGAAAGAUUCACAGGCUCGCCCGCAAUGCUUUGUCAAUAUUGUGUGAAGCGAAACCUCCCAGAAUCACAGAACCAGCUCUCGACAGACAAAAGAGUAGUAAUAAUAAUAAGGAUAAUGAGGAUAAUAAUGAAAAACAGUUACCACUUACUAAGACACUCACUUUGUGCCAGACCCAGUGUUAAGUGCUUUUGUAUAUUGAUCAUCUCACACAGUCCUACAAUCCAUUCUCAGCACGGCAGCCAGAGUGGCCUUUUUAAAGAGACAUAAACUCUAAAUCAGAUCAUGCUAGUCUCUGGCUGAAGCCUCUAAGAGCCUCACACUGUACUUAGAGUGAAAUCAAACCUCCUUGCCUUGGCCUGCAAGGCGUGUCUCCUGCUUCCCUUUCCCUUCCUGCUCCUAUGCUACCCCUACUCACCAGCUCUAGGCACAGGAGGCCUCUCUCUAUGGUAUAAAGUGCCAAGCUUUUGUCUGCCCCAGGACAUUUGCACUUGCUCUUGCUUCAUUAAGCAACUCAACUCCCCACUCAACAAUUGCCUAGAAUGAUCAACCUUGCAUAACAGGCAUUGUUAUCCCACAGAACAGAUGAAGAAACUGAAGGUCAGAGUGAUUCACUUGCCCAAAGUCACACAGUUUGUGAGUUUCCUAGUAGGUAACCAAAGGAUUUGGUUCAAGUACUCAUGUCAGCCAGCUAUGUGGAGGCUACGCAACCACCGAAGAUAAGAAUUGCCUGCAAGCUGUGGUUUUCACCCUUUCAUUUUGCAAACAGCCCUGAUUUUUCUUUUUCCUGUACCAAGGAUUGAACUCUGAACCUUGCACUUGUGAGGCAGGUGUGCGUACACCUGGUGCCACUGAACUAAAUCCCUGGCCUUGCCUUACUUGGUCGUUUCAUUGCCAGAAUCUGUCUAUAUAAUCAGGCCUGUACCACCAGAUCCCCCAUCUUUCCUGGAUUUUCCUUCCCUCCCUCCUUCCUUCCUUCCUUCUUUCUACGCUCUCACUAUGUAGUCCAGUUCCGCCUAAAAAUCACCAGGCUGGCCUCGAUCUCACAGCCAUCGUCUUCCCUCAGCCCCUGGAGGGCUGGGAUUGCAGAUGUGCGCCACCACGCCCAACCUCACAUUUUGGUUUCUUUACUGCCGAUCUUGUUCUCCACUGUCGCAGAUGGUCUGUGUAUGUAAUUGUCUGUCCAACUUCUACACCUUAAUGUUGUACAAGAGAGUAUUCUCGUGGCAUUAAAAAUUGUUCAUAAGCAUUAAAGUUCGUGGUUGUAUGAUAUUCCUUCACUUGGGUACACACAGUGUAAUCUGCCAAAUUUCUCUCAUUUGAGGAUUCCCUUUUCUCAUCUUCCAAGUAGUAAGGUAAAAGUAGGACUCAAAUGCAGAGGCACCUACACAGCUGUCACUUAAAUAUAAAGAGAUUCAUGGACAACUAUGUUUCCUUUUUUUUUUUUUUUUUUUUGGUACCAGGGAUCUAACUCAGGUUCUUGCGCUUGUGAAGCAGGUGGUGGAACCACUGAGAUAUGUUUCCUUUUAAGAUCAGAAAAAGGCAUGUUUUGCUUUGGUUUUGUUGUUUUAUUUUGACAUCUUCAGCCUCUUUUUAGACAGAGUCUCAUUAAAUCGCUGGCUGGGCUUGAACUUGCGAUCCUCCUGCCUCAGCCUCUCACAGUGCCACUACGCUCCGCAUGUCUGUAUUUCAUCCAAAUAACUAUUGCUAUUGUUUUGCUCCCUGAGAUUUCAUUGUGCAGUGAAACAAAGUGUACAAGGUCCCGAGAAAUGCACUGCUCACUGGUUUUGGUCAUUGUGUGAACGUCACAGUGUUCACACACACUGUGGAGUAGCCUACUGCAGAGCUACACAGCCCGGCAUAUUUUUCCUUUCUGUGGUUCUUCCUUUACCAGAACGUCUUUGGCGGUGCACGACCAUUUUCGAAAACUGCAGCUAUUCAGUAAAACUUGUAAUUAUACCCAAAUGUCUUCGCCCAAAGCACAGGUUUUAAGGCUGCUUUUACUCAGCAAGACCCGCCCCCCCACCGUUUCUCUGUUACCUGUAUCUUCCAGCUCUUCCCACAGUUCAGCUCCUGACACCGUUAUUUCCUUUGCAACCAGGAGGUAGAAUAGAAAGAAGCCCAGACUGUGGAGGUCAGGAAGUGAGGUUCAAGGGCGUAGCUGUGGUCGGCAGGGAAAGCUCCUCUUUGUCUCCCCUGCAGAAUGAGAAUGAUCAUCCUGAAAGUCAAGGGAAGGGUGGGCAGGGAGGUCAUGCAAUAAACCUCAAAGUGCCAUAAAGUUGUUUGGAAUUCUUACCGUCCAACAGUGUUGCAGUGGUUGUUUAAAAAAGGCUUAAAAAGGACGGGGAUUUAGCUCUGUGGUGCCGCCGCCUGCCUCAGAAGCGCAAGAUCUCAAGUUCAAUCCCAGUACCAAACCAAACAAAACAAAAAACAACAACAACUUAAAAAGUCAACCGAG
rnacentral:lncRNA from 1 species